AAUUCAGUCUUCUGUU
rnacentral:sRNA from 1 species